GACAGAGGCCUCGAGCGUUAGGCGGAAUCACUGGGCUUAAAGCGUGUGUAGGCGGAUCGUUAAGUGUCUUGUGAAAUCCCACGGCUCACCCGUGGAACUGCUGGGCAUACUGGCGAUCUUGGGCCAUUCAGGGGCGACUGGAACAAGCGGUGGAGCGGUGAAAUGCGUAGAUAUCGCUUGGAACGCCGAAGGUGAAAACAGGUCGCUGGGGAUGUGCCGACGCUGAGACACGAAAGCCAGGGGAGCAAACGGG
rnacentral:rRNA from 1 species